CCUACGGGUGGCAGCAGUAGGGAAUAUUGCUCAAUGGGGGAAACCCUGAAGCAGCAACGCCGCGUGGAGGAUGAAGGUUUUCGGAUUGUAAACUCCUUUUGUUAGAGAAGAUAAUGAUGGUAUUUAACGAAUAAGCACCGGCUAACUCCGUGCCAGCAGCCGCGGUAAUACGGAGGGUGCAAGCGUUAUUCGGAAUCAUUGGGCGUAAAGAGCGCGUAGGCGGGAUAGCAAGUCAGAUGUGAAAUCCUCGGGCUGAACCAUAGAACUGCAGUUGAAACUGUUAGUCUAGAGUAUGGGAGAGGUAGGUGGAAUGCGUGGUGUAGGGGUAGAAUGCGUAGAGAUCAAGAGGAAUACUGAUUGCGAAGGCGACCUGCUGGAACAUAACUGACGCUGAGGCACGAAAGCGUGGGGAGCAAACAGGAUUAGAUACCCGUGUAGUC
rnacentral:rRNA from 1 species